rnacentral:rRNA from 1 species
CAUACGGCUCAGUAACACGUGGCUAACCCAACCUCGAGAUGGAGACAAUCCCGGGAAACUGGGGCUAAUCUCCAAUAGAUGAGAAGUCCUGGAAUGGUUUUUCGUUCAAAAGGUGUUGCGAUCACGCUUUGCGACACUGCUCGAGGAUGGGGCCGCGUCCGAUCAGGUAGUUGGUGAGGUAACGGCUCACCAAGCCUAUAACCGGUCCGGGCCGUGGGAGCGGGAGCCCGGAGAUGGGCACUGAGACAAGGGCCCAGGCCCUACGGGGCGCAGCAGUUGCGAAAACUCCGCAAUACACGGAAGUGUGACGGGGCUACCCCGAGUGCUGUCCGCUGAGGAUGGCUUUUCUUUGCUGUAGGAAUGCAGAGGAAUAAGGAGAGGGCAAGUCUGGUGUCACCCGCCGCGGUAAUACCAGCUCUCCAAGUGGUAGGGAUGAUUAUUGGGCUUAAAGCGUCCGUAGCCGGCUCGACAAGUCUCUCGUUAAAUCCAACGAUCUAAUCGUUGGACUGCGGGAAAUACUGCUGGGCUAGGAGGCGGGCAAAGCCAACUGUAUUCCGGGGGUAGGGCGU